GAACGCUGGCGGCGUGCUUAACACAUGCAAGUCGAACGAAGCACUUUAUUUGAUUUCUUCGGAAUGAAGAUUUUGUGACUGAGUGGCGGACGGGUGAGUAACGCGUGGGUAACCUGCCUCAUACAGGGGGAUAACAGUUGGAAACGGCUGCUAAUACCGCAUAAGCGCACGGCAUCGCAUGAUGCAGUGUGAAAAACUCCGGUGGUAUAAGAUGGACCCGCGUUGGAUUAGCUAGUUGGUGAGGUAACGGCCCACCAAGGCGACGAUCAGUAGCCGACCUGAGAGGGUGACCGGCCACAUUGGGACUGAGACACGGCCCAAACUCCUACGGGAGGCAGCAGUGGGGAAUAUUGCACAAUGGGGGAAACCCUGAUGCAGCGACGCCGCGUGAGCGAAGAAGUAUUUCGGUAUGUAAAGCUCUAUCAGCAGGGAAGAAGAAAUGACGGUACCUGACUAAGAAGCACCGGCUAAAUACGUG
rnacentral:rRNA from 1 species